UCAGCCUCUUGGCAUUGAACACGCUCGUAGUGGCCUUCAGAUGUGCAUCGCGGCACGAACCGACCCAACGAGAACCUGUUUCGCUCAGACAGCUGGUAUUCGCGUUGACAAUCCGUCACUCUGUCUCCUGAUCUGGUACCGUCCAGUUCCGAGCCCUGAGCGUCAACACACCAACAUUCCCCUGUACUCUCUUGACACUGGACGUCUUCAUAAGCGCCAUCUAGGGUGCAACGGGGGACAAACCUGUCCAGCGAGGCUGGGGUCUUGAGCGCUUGCUCGACUUGGGCUCGACAGGGUGUCACGGGCACUAAAUAGGGAGAAGGAGAUAUAAUAAGGCGAGUGGGCUUAGAGAAAGGGAAUAACAGCGCAACAACAACAUCCAGAACAAAUGGGGUAAUAAUAAAACCAUGUAAGAGUAAUAAUAAUUACCUGGAGUAGGUAGUUGAGGUGGGAGGGAUGGAGGAACUCCUAGAAAAAGGCGAACACUAUUAGGUCACUAUCAGCCAAAUGCGAUUCCAAGCUAGUAUCUAUAACCGUUUGUUCCAUUGCGUUACCUGGAUCACAGUUGGGUUGUCCAGUUUGCCUUGUGCCGGGUCUUUCCUUGCCGUCCUCGUCCACGCACCAGCAGUACCGAGUGCCGUCAUGACACUGGACGGUCUCGUAGCUGCCGUCGUCCGCACACCUAGGCACGUAGGCGCCGACCGGAGCUUGCCCUGUCAUGCCUUGCACGCGGUGACGGUGCUUCUGGCACGCGGAGAACUCUUCUGCAAACAGACAGGAUACGUGUAUCAAGCAAUCAAGUAUCAAGCAAUCCCUGUUAGAAAGCCAUGACUUGGUAGCCAGAAAGAAACAGAGAGCAUGGGAAACCUGAGACAAUCUGAAGAAGAAGGGGCGAUGCGGAUUUGGGAUUUUGCUUAAAGCAGAAACAGUCCGUCUUGUAGCACUGGCGAGGGUCAUACGAGCCGUCCUUGCGGCACCAUGGGACGUGACGCGUGGCCAGGAACCAGUUCCUAGUCUUUUCCUGGUAGUGUCUCUGGCAGUGAGUAAGGUUGGCUCCUGUACACCAGAACAACAAACUCUUAGGACAAUCCUGGAAAAGGCGGAACCUAGGCUAGAGGUAUGUUUGCUACGGACAUUAUAACACGACUAGUAUUCCUACAUUUGUGUUGUAACGCGAUAUCUGUUCAAACCCUUUGAAAUGACAUUCAUGGACAAUAACAAUUUUUUUGCAAUGGGUAACAAACUCUUAGGACAAUCCUGGAAAAGGCGGAACCUAGGCUAGGGGUAUGUUUGCUACGGACAUAAAGAAUUAUAACACGACUAGUAUUCCUACAUUUGUGUUGUAACGCGAUAUCUGUUCAAACCCUUUGAAAUAAUUUUCAUGGACAAUAACAAUUUCUUUGCAACGGGUAUCAGAUAAGUUCACGUUUUGCAAGCAUCUGAUAGGUCCGUUUGUCCGUCUUCGGUACUUAAUAACGGGUAUCUGAUAGGCUCAAUUAUCUACCGUAUUGUGUGUAUUUUGGUAAUUCCAUCUAUCGAACGUAUAACGAGUAUCUGAUAUGAUCGACUGUUUACCAUAUAGCGGGUAUCUGAAUAUUUACCGUAUUGUGAGCAUCUGAUAGGUCCGUUUGUCCGUGUGCCGGGGAUCUCGUUUCCCUUAGCAUCUGCGCACCAGCACUGAUGUGUUGCCGCCUCGCACUGGAUCUCCUCGUAGGCUCCGGAUGACUUGCACUUGGCGGCAAAUACCUGGUUCCCAUUAGACCCAACCCUCUCCUGGUGUUCUCUUUGGCAGAUACGGAUCACAGGAAAACACACACAGCAAGGUUGCGAUCUUCUAAUAAUGUGUAUUUCCUGGAAUCUAGUGUACUGGAUGCCGCUAAGAGCAUUGAAGGCAAAUCCCAUAGCAGGCGAAGAUGCAAAGGAAAUUAAUCCAACGUGGUCACCAUCAUGAGAAAUGUGGAAUUUGUCUAGAAACUCUUUCGUGAAUUGUAGUGUUCUGGGCC